rnacentral:lncRNA from 1 species
GCCGUGACCAGGAACAGAAUUUGGCCCUGUUUGGGUCCAUUGCCUUUUGUUCUGUAACUGGGCUUCACUGAGAAGAGUCUGGCUCCCUCUUCAUCCCGUACCCUGUGCUAACUAAAGCCACAAACCAGAUGUUCUGGAGGGGGCUUUCUGGCUGGAUGAGUUCCUAAGGAUGGUUCAGAGUCAGCCACCUGUGCUCCAGGAACCCUUGGUAACAAACUAUAGAGGAAAGAUGUAUAUACUAAAUGACAAGGAGAUGAAUGCUGAAGUUUCCAUGUGCAUUCAAGUGUUUGGUGUUUCUACUCUUCUUCCAUUUGAGAAGACCAUAUAUAUGAUAUUGCUGCCAUUAUAAUGACAUUCUUCAACAAGGAAGAUGCGUCUUUUUAUGGGCAUUGGCACCAUUUACAGGAUCCACAUUUAUGCAAGUCUGUUCUGUAUUUCAUUUAAAUAAAGCCUCCAUAAAAGCUUUGAUCAUUAAUUAUUUAUCCAGCUAGAUUCUUUUACCUUCCCUUUCCUUCUCUUCCCUUCCCUUCCCCUCUUUUCUUCAUUUGAAAACAGUUCC